rnacentral:rRNA from 1 species
CAAGUCGAACGAGCGAGAGAGAGCUUGCUUUCUCAAGCGAGUGGCGAACGGGUGAGUAACGCGUGAGGAACCUGCCUCAAAGAGGGGGACAACAGUUGGAAACGACUGCUAAUACCGCAUAAGCCCACAGGUCGGCAUCGACCAGAGGGAAAAGGAGCAAUCCGCUUUGAGAUGGCCUCGCGUCCGAUUAGCUAGUUGGUGAGGUAACGGCCCACCAAGGCGACGAUCGGUAGCCGGACUGAGAGGUUGAACGGCCACAUUGGGACUGAGACACGGCCCAGACUCCUACGGGAGGCAGCAGUGGGGAAUAUUGCACAAUGGGGGAAACCCUGAUGCAGCGACGCCGCGUGGAGGAAGAAGGUCUUCGGAUUGUAAACUCCUGUUGUUGAGGAAGAUAAUGACGGUACUCAACAAGGAAGUGACGGCUAACUACGUGCCAGCAGCCGCGGUAAAACGUAGGUCACAAGCGUUGUCCGGAAUUACUGGGUGUAAAGGGAGCGCAGGCGGGAAGACAAGUUGGAAGUGAAAUCUAUGGGCUCAACCCAUAAACUGCUUUCAAAACUGUUUUUCUUGAGUAGUGCAGAGGUAGGCGGAAUUCCCGGUGUAGCGGUGGAAUGCGUAGAUAUCGGGAGGAACACCAGUGGCGAAGGCGGCCUACUGGG